UGAGGCGAACCGGGGGAACUGAAACAUCUAAGUACCCCGAGGAAAAGAAAUCAACCGAGAUUCCCCCAGUAGCGGCGAGCGAACGGGGAGGAGCCCAGAGCCUGAAUCAGUGUGUGUGUUAGUGGAAGCGUCUGGAAAGGCGCGCGAUACAGGGUGACAGCCCCGUACACAAAAAUGCACAUACUGUGAGCUCGAUGAGUAGGGCGGGACACGUGGUAUCCUGUCUGAAUAUGGGGGGACCAUCCUCCAAGGCUAAAUACUCCUGACUGACCGAUAGUGAACCAGUACCGUGAGGGAAAGGCGAAAAGAACCCCGGCGAGGGGAGUGAAAAAGAACCUGAAACCGUGUACGUACAAGCAGUGGGAGCCUCUUUUAUGGGGUGACUGCGUACCUUUUGUAUAAUGGGUCAGCGACUUAUAUUCUGUAGCAAGGUUAACCGAAUAGGGGAGCCGAAGGGAAACCGAGUCUUAACUGGGCGUUAAGUUGCAGGGUAUAGACCCGAAACCCGGUGAUCUAGCCAUGGGCAGGUUGAAGGUUGGGUAACACUAACUGGAGGACCGAACCGACUAAUGUUGAAAAAUUAGCGGAUGACUUGUGGCUGGGGGUGAAAGGCCAAUCAAACCGGGAGAUAGCUGGUUCUCCCCGAAAGCUAUUUAGGUAGCGCCUCGUGAAUUCAUCUCCGGGGGUAGAGCACUGUUUCGGCAAGGGGGUCAUCCCGACUUACCAACCCGAUGCAAACUGCGAAUACCGGAGAAUGUUAUCACGGGAGACACACGGCGGGUGCUAACGUCCGUCGUGAAGAGGGAAACAACCCAGACCGCCAGCUAAGGUCCCAAAGUCAUGGUUAAGUGGGAAACGAUGUGGGAAGGCCCAGACAGCCAGGAUGUUGGCUUAGAAGCAGCCAUCAUUUAAAGAAAGCGUAAUAGCUCACUGGUCGAGUCGGCCUGCGCGGAAGAUGUAACGGGGCUAAACCAUGCACCGAAGCUGCGGCAGCGACACUAUGUGUUGUUGGGUAGGGGAGCGUUCUGUAAGCCUGCGAAGGUGUACUGUGAGGUAUGCUGGAGGUAUCAGAAGUGCGAAUGCUGACAUAAGUAACGAUAAAGCGGGUGAAAAGCCCGCUCGCCGGAAGACCAAGGGUUCCUGUCCAACGUUAAUCGGGGCAGGGUGAGUCGACCCCUAAGGCGAGGCCGAAAGGCGUAGUCGAUGGGAAACAGGUUAAUAUUCCUGUACUUGGUGUUACUGCGAAGGGGGGACGGAGAAGGCUAUGUUGGCCGGGCGACGGUUGUCCCGGUUUAAGCGUGUAGGCUGGUUUUCCAGGCAAAUCCGGAAAAUCAAGGCUGAGGCGUGAUGACGAGGCACUACGGUGCUGAAGCAACAAAUGCCCUGCUUCCAGGAAAAGCCUCUAAGCAUCAGGUAACAUCAAAUCGUACCCCAAACCGACACAGGUGGUCAGGUAGAGAAUACCAAGGCGCUUGAGAGAACUCGGGUGAAGGAACUAGGCAAAAUGGUGCCGUAACUUCGGGAGAAGG
rnacentral:rRNA from 1 species